UAGGGAAUCUUCCACAAUGGACGCAAGUCUGAUGGAGCAACGCCGCGUGAGUGAAGAAGGUUUUCGGACCGUAAAGCUCUGUUGUUGGUGAAGAAGGAUAGAGGUAGUAACUGGCCUUUAUUUGACGGUAAUCAACCAGAAAGUCACGGCUAACUACGUGCCAGCAGCCGCGGUAAUACGUAGGUGGCAAGCGUUGUCCGGAUUUAUUGGGCGUAAAGCGAGCGCAGGCGGAAGAAUAAGUCUGAUGUGAAAGCCCUCGGCUUAACCGAGGAAUUGCAUCGGAAACUGUUUUUCUUGAGUGCAGAAGAGGAGAGUAGAACUCCAUGUGUAGCGGUGGAAUGCGUAGAUAUAUGGAAGAAUACCAGUGGCGAAGGCGGCUCUCUGGUCUGCAACUGACGCUGAGGCUCGAAAGCAUGGGUAGCGAACAGGAUUAGAUACCCUGGUAGUCCAUGCCGUAAACGAUGAGUGCUAAGUGUUGGGAGGCUUCCGCCUCUCAGUGCUGCAGCUAACGCAUUAAGCACUCCGCCUGGGGGAGUACGACCGCAAGGUUGAAACUCAAAG
rnacentral:rRNA from 1 species